rnacentral:ncRNA from 1 species
GUUCGUUAAUGGCAAACUUAUCGAAAGAUAAGGACGCAAAGCCACGGGUCUAAGGUUGUCAAACUAUGAUCGCCGGGUUGCCGAA